UACGUAGGAGACGAGCGUUGUCCGGAGUUACUGGGCGUAAAGGGUGCGCAGGUGGCGGCGCGCGUGGGGGGUGAAAUCGCCCGGCUUAACUGGGCGGGGGCCUUCCAGACGGCGUGGCUUGAGCAGCGGAGGGGGACGUGGAAUUCCGGGUGGAGCGGUGAAAUGCGUAGAGAUCCGGAGGAACACCGACGGCGCAGGCAGCGCCCUGGUCGCUUGCUGACACUGAGGCACGAAAGCUGGGGGAGCAAACAGG
rnacentral:rRNA from 1 species